AUAGAUUCUAAAAUCAGUAAUUAUAUAAUUUUAUAAGCUAAGUAUGAUCAAAGCGAUUGUGCUUGAACCACGGAACUCAAGAGUGCCUAACACCUUCGCACGGGUUAACAGAAUUCCUUACCCGGAUUUUUAUGUUCGCAGACUGUAUAACUGAGUCAAUCUUUUCCUCAAUUUAGGAUUUGAACCGGUGACUUGGAACACCACUAAUUAUUCUAAGUGGCGACUCUAAAUAUUUGAUAAAUAAGUAAUCUCAUUUCGAUUGUCACCUAAAGUUGGAAAAAACUCCCUUCUACGCCCUUCGUGAGGUGUACGUAAAAAGGAGGUGU
rnacentral:lncRNA from 1 species